GGUUAUAUCGCGACAAAUAACGGUCUACCACUUGUCUAGGGAUCUUGCCAAAAAAGCAGAACCGUAGAUAGUGAAAUUGGGAUGUCAUCAUGAUUCACUCAUAAAUCGUUGAAUCACGGGCCAGUUCCUCUAUUCCCACUGUACUGACCCCGAGCUCUGCAACUGCAAGCUGUACUCCCCCGCACUGACCCCGAGCUCUGCAACUGCAAGCUGUACUCCCCAGCGCUGACCCCGAGCUCUGCAACUGCAAGCUGUACUCCCCAGCGCUGACCCCGAGCUCUGCAGCUGCAAGCUCAUUGUCCGGCUCAUUAUGUUAGUUAACCCUCGAGUCUACCCAUUCUUUUAGGAUUGGUGCAGCCACCACAACGGUAAAUGACUGUCUCCCAAGUCAGGCUGCCUAAACUCAACAGUCUUCAUUUUUCCACUGAACGCAUACCUCCACAUUAAAUUUGAACCGCUUAUUGCAGACCUUGACUGACUGGUAAACUGAGCAACACUUUUCAACUCCAGCUCACUUGUGGUUGGAGCCUUAGCAAUUCCUGAGACAUGCAUCUCUUGCAGGCAAUGUGGAUACUCUUAACCUGUUAACAUGGGCAUUAAAGUAAAAAUAAACUGCUAGCGCAGCCUUAACACAAGGGUGCCACAUGCAGUGUGAAUCGGGCGUAAUUCUCUUGUCUGAAAAAAAUUGUCUGCCAGGGGUAGAACUCUGAUCCCUACAAGUUAGGAGUCCAUGGGCAUAGUUGAGCAAGGCAUCAUUUCACAAGAAUCAGUAACUAUACCUUUUAGCUAGAUAACCAGACCAGGGGAAAGGGCACAAGGCUCAUGAAGGUUAUCCAGCCCCAUCAUCACUCUUCAAAGCAAAUAUCAAUGGCAGGUGCAAGGUUUUGCUACCCAAAACAAAGCUUGCAAUGGUAACGGUGGAGUUCUGGAAUCGUCAUUUGGUCCAUCUAGUGCUUGCCAAAAGCUGAUGAUGCAUGUCCCAACAAGAGAACGCUACAUGAGAAGGAAAUUGAGCGCAGGAGGUCACGGUGAGGUGCAGUUCCUCUCAUGAUGUCAUGAGGCGAAAAGGGAGACGAAAGGGAAGUGGAACAAACCCUUCGCCAUGGCAACAGACCCCUUGUAAAGACAGCCAGACAACAAAGACUGGAAAUGUUGUGUGUGUGUGUGUGUGUGUGUGUGUGUUUUUUGUUUUUCACACAGAUGAGUGAAGGAGGUUAUGAUGAAACCGUAGGAACAGACCAUGGCACAGACCCUCAUCAUGGAUUCACUGCAUUUUGUCCUAUGAAAUCUGUUGUCAGUAUAUUUUAUGUUGGUAUUUUUUGUGUGAAUUCCUGCUGUCUGGAGAAGUGAAACAAUCUUAACUGAAAACUGUUAAACAUUUUUGUGUUUCUCUUGUAUGAAUGUAUUAUUGUUUGUACCAUGACUGAUAUUUGUGUAAGUGUGUUAACAAUGAUAUUGUUGUGGUGUGUGUCUAUUUUUUGCUAA